AUGAAGAUAAUCGCUUGGAACUGCCGGGGGCUUGGGAACCAGCCGGCAGCUCGGGGUCUCCUGGAGCUCCAGGGGGCGGAAGAGCCUGACAUUUUGUUUUUGUCGGAGACAAAAUUGUUUGAGAAAGAGUUGGACAGUUUGCGGUGGCGGCUGGGGAUGCCAAACAUGGUGGCAAAGGACCCGGUUGGUCGGAGUGGGGGUCUGGCUUUGUUCUGGCGAAGGGGGGUGAAUGUCGAGCUCAAGUGGAAAGAUAAGUAUUACAUCGAUGCAGAGGUGACUGAGGAUGAUGGAAGGAGGUGGAGAUUGACGGGGAUGUAUGGCGAGUCGAGAUGGGGGGAGAAGGAGAAUACAUGGAGGGCCUUGAGGACGUUGCGUGCUCAGUCAGACCUACCAUGGAUCUGCCUAGGGGAUUUCAACGAGAUCCUUUUCAGCAAUGAGAAGGAGGGAGGACCGGCUCGGGCCCAGGGGUGCAUGGAUGCUUUUCGGGGCACUUUGGAGAGAUGUGGUCUCGAUGACCUUGGCUUUGCUGGAGACCCGUACACGUGGAGGAACAAUUGGCAUUCGGUUGAGGGCUAUACUCAGGAAAGGCUAGACCGAGCAGUUGCAAAUAUGGAAUGGCGAUGCCUCUACCCCUUACAUAAAGUUGUAAAUGGAGACCCACGACACUCAGAUCAUCGUCCGAUAAUUGUGGAGUUGGAAUGGUAG
rnacentral:rRNA from 1 species